CAAACUCUACCAUAAGCAGGCACUGGGAUUUGCUCAACACUGCAAGCACAAAUAUAUGCUUAUGUAUACAAAGCAAGAGUGGAGGAAAAAGGAAAGUGCCCAUUUGAUGUUGGCACAAAUUACACUGGCUCCUUCUAAACGGACAAAAUUGCUACCUAUGGCAUUUUGAAAAUUACAACAGAAAACAAAUCUGAGAAGACUGAGUAUUCAGAGCUGACAGAAGCAGAACUGUUUCUAAUUACAAAAGAUUCCUGAAGAUCUUCUUUCAGCCCCAGCUCUAGUGGAAUGACUGACCAUUCCUGAAGCAUUCAAACAGAAUCAGGCUACAACUGAAUUCUCCUACUGAAAGUAGAUUUGAUUUGAAAGCCUUUUAACGUGUGUGUAUAAACAAUAAGUAAAAUAUUAUGGUCUUAAUUUUUC